rnacentral:rRNA from 1 species
CGCAGGGAGAGCGUCUCGGAUCAUUGACAACUAAAAUAAGGAGCAAGCAAACGUCCGAAUUAAAGGGGCCCUAGAUCACGAAACACAGUAAUAAAAAUGAAUCUGGAGAGUUUGAUCCUGGCUCAGAACGAACGCUGGCGGCGUGCCUAACACAUGCAAGUCCAACGUGAAAAGGGGAGCAAUCCCCCGGUAGGGUGGCAAACGGGUGAGUAAUACAUGGGUGAUCUACCUUAGGGAUGGGGAUAUCCUUCCGAAAGGAGGGGCAAUACCGAAUAUUGUCCGGAGCCGUGAAGGGUUCCGGGGAAAGGGAGGCCUCUGAUA